rnacentral:rRNA from 2 species
GGGGAAUAUUGGACAAUGGGGGGAACCCUGAUCCAGCCAUGCCGCGUGUGUGAAGAAGGCCUUAUGGUUGUAAAGCACUUUAAGCGAGGAGGAGGCUACUGAGACUAAUACUCUUGGAUAGUGGACGUUACUCGCAGAAUAAGCACCGGCUAACUCUGUGCCAGCAGCCGCGGUAAUACAGAGGGUGCGAGCGUUAAUCGGAUUUACUGGGCGUAAAGCGUGCGUAGGCGGCUUUUUAAGUCGGAUGUGAAAUCCCCGAGCUUAACUUGGGAAUUGCAUUCGAUACUGGGAAGCUAGAGUAUGGGAGAGGAUGGUAGAAUUCCAGGUGUAGCGGUGAAAUGCGUAGAGAUCUGGAGGAAUACCGAUGGCGAAGGCAGCCAUCUGGCCUAAUACUGACGCUGAGGUACGAAAGCAUGGGGAGCAAAC